AUAUAAUAUAAUAAAUUCCAAUAUUCCACACUUCUCAUUCUCUGCUUCAAAACUUGUUCGAUUUUGCAGUACUUACUCUCCAUUUAUGGCCAAAGGCGUGAUAUCUGAUGACGAAGAUGAGGUUGAGGUUGAGAUGCACGAGAGAGAGCCUGUUGAUGGUGAAGAAUUGGAAGAAGGAGGUCGAGAUAUGGACAAGGACGAUGUGGAUGAAGAAGAAGAGGGUAUGAACUUUGAUUGUUCUGAAGUGUUUUUGCUGUUUACAAUUUCUAUUGGGUUUUUUCUUACUUUUUGUUCUCACUGGCUGCGGAUAAUUUUUUAGAAUACUGGGGAUUUCAAAUUAGGGUUUUCCCUUGCGGCAUUGUUUGAUUUUGGUAUGAAAUAUGACUUAUGUUAAGUGCUUGAAAGUUGUUUUUUAUUAGAUUGAUGAUGCAAUGAAUUGUUGUGUUGAUGUUGAAAAUGGAGUCGAGGUGAUGUAUUAUUGUGUUGUGUGCUACCUCUACGUCGAUCCGGUGACGUCAAGUUUGGCUACUUUGAUAUGUGAAUUUGCAGAUCUAUGUGACAAGUGCGUGUAAUGUUUCUCUCAAUUUCAGAUUGAUAUGCAUGGGUGAGUUUGAAAAUUAAUGUGUGUGGGAAUUGGAAGUCAUUUUUUAUAUCAGUACUCAUUUAAAGGCAUGCAAAAAAAAUUGUAGUUACUAUUAAAUUAUAGAACAAUGCUUUUAACACUUUCUUUUAUAGUAUGAUGGUUCCAGCACAGGACAAGCUCCUGGAAAAGAUAGUGAAGUUAUUUUAUACAUAAAUUAGAAGAAGCUGUUCGAAGAAAUGUCGAGGAGAAGCUUCAAACAGAGGAAGUCAAGUUGGAAAUAGAAAGGCGCAUUGCAGAGGGGUUGAAGAAGAAGUAUGAAGAUGUUGAAGUUCAACUUGAAAAAGAAAAGCAAGAAAUGCUUGUUGAAGCUAAAAGAAAACAAGAAAAUUUGUUGUAGCUUAUGUCCCUACAUGUCAAGAAAAAGAAUAUUACCUUGCUUGUGCAUGUGAAGAGAUAUAUGCCCCUCCAAGUGCUUACUUUUCUUUGUUCGGAUUGAGUGUUAAAGCUUCAUUCCUCAGAGGUGUUUUAGAUAACAUAGGAAUUGAACCACAAGUGGAGAGGAUUGGCAAGUACAAAAGUGCAGGAGAUCAAUUAGCUCGAAGGACCAUGUCUGAUGAAAAUUAUGAGAUGCUGACUGCAUUGCUUGAUAACAUCUAUACAAAUUGGCUGGAUAAAGUCUCUUCUGCCAAAGGUACUUUUACAUUUGAAAUUUAAGUUGAAUCUUGUAUCACUAAAUAAUUGUGAGAUGCUGACUGCAUUGCUUGAUAAGUAGAUGUUUCAGUCACGAUACAGUCCCAAAUCUUCUACCUGGAAUGCAGCGUGUCUUUAACUUUUUAGAAUCCUUUAUAGUAUGUACAACAGACAUCCUUUGCCCCUCACUUGCCAAUAAAGAGACAAACAUUUUAUUUUUAAUAGUGGAAUCUAUUUUGCUUUCUCUUUAAUUAGUAGAACUUUUCCUUAAUUUUAUACUUCAUAAGUGGUUUGACAUUUGCCAACAGACUCUUCUGAUUAUUUUAUAUAUGGAUGUGUGUACAUGGGGGAUAUCUAUGUAAUGGAUUAUUUUUAAGAACCCGGCCUCAAUGAAAACUUGCCCUAUAAAGGAUGAUUCUGCAGUGAGCUGUGUGGAAAAAGCUAAAACGAACACCAGUUAAUCUAUUGUGUGUGAAAUUUGAAUCCCUAGUAAUUUUUUUUGUUUUUACUUCUCUCAAUGACCUUGUGGUUUUCUGCCCAGUAUUCUCCCACAGCCUCAUCUAAUUCCUCAUUGGGAUUUUCUUCUAUCUGGUUGCAUCUUGGGAUUUUCCUACUGUUGUAACACUGAUUCAUUUCCAGCCAAAGAGUUUUACCAUGGUGUUAUAGUAUGACAUUUUGGGUUCCUUGUUUGGACUACCAAAAUUGAGCUUAGAGAUAAAAAAUCUGAGACGAGUUCUCCAAGUUAGAAUAGCAAUUGAGGAUUAUUCUGCACCUACAGCUG